UUCGCAAUGCCCGAAAGGGUGACGAAGCGACGCCGCGUGCGGGAAGAAGGCCUUCGGGUUGUAAACCGCUGUCGGGAGUUAAGAAAUGCAAGGGUGUUAACAGCAUCCUUGCUUGACUAAGGCUCCGGAGGAAGCCACGGCUAACUCUGUGCCAGCAGCCGCGGUAAUACAGAGGCGGCAAGCGUUGUUCGGAAUUAUUGGGCGUAAAGAGCACGUAGGCGGCUGUGUAAGUCGGUUGUGAAAGCCUUCCGCUCAACGGGAGAACGGCAUCCGAUACUGCAUGGCUUGAGUGCGGGAGGGGAGAGUGGAACUUCUGGUGGAGCGGUGAAAUGCGUAGAUAUCAGAAGGAACACCGGCGGCGAAGGCGACUCUCUGGCCCGUAACUGACGCUGAGUGUGCGAAAGCUAGGGGAGCAAACGGGAUUAGAUACCCCGGUAGUCCUAGCCGUAAACGAUGGGCACUAAGUAGAGGGGUUUU
rnacentral:rRNA from 4 species